GAUUUGCAAGUCUGUUGAGAGGAUAGCAGAAGUUCACAAGCACUGUGGUAAAAAUGAGAAUGCUUCAUGUAGUGCGAGAUUCUGAAAGAGAUCACCGGCCAUUCUUCCAAACUCAUAAAGGAUGAGCCAGGAAAGUUGACAUAUUUAUAUGGCUAUAUUGGUGACAGAAUGUGUGUAAUACUAAAUUAUAGGAUCAUAUGGCAAAAAAGAAGAGAGAGAGAGAGCCUUGCUGCUGAUAGUCGUCCUCAAUUUUGGCUGUAGGGACCAACCCCAGAUUCAUUCGCAUGAGAAAGAAUGAAGACAGGCUAGCUGGUAGCUAUAACAAUCAUUCUUUGAAAGGUUGGAUGGCCAAAUUCUUGGUCCUCUGCCGUGGCCAAUGAAAAGCAUAAUAAGCAGGCAGCUUUUUUUUUUUUUUCUGCCUUUUGCUUCAUAAAUGAUUAUAAUACACAAAAAUCUUUCAUCUCCUCUUAUAUCAUGAUUGCCUUCACUUUUUAU
rnacentral:misc_RNA from 1 species